AACGAACGCUGGCGGCAGGCUUAACACAUGCAAGUCGAGCGCCCCGCAAGGGGAGCGGCAGACGGGUGAGUAACGCGUGGGAACGUACCCUUUGCUACGGAAUAGCUCCGGGAAACUGGAAUUAAUACCGUAUGUGCCCUACGGGGGAAAGAUUUAUCGGCAAAGGAUCGGCCCGCGUUGGAUUAGCUAGUUGGUGGGGUAAUGGCCUACCAAGGCGGCGAUCCAUAGCUGGUCUGAGAGGAUGAUCAGCCACAUUGGGACUGAGACACGGCCCAAACUGCUAGGGGGGGCAGCAGUGGGGAAUAUUGGACAAUGGGCGGAAGCCUGAUCCAGCCAUGCCGCGUGAGUGAUGAAGGCCUUAGGGUUGUAAAGCUCUUUCACCGAUGAAGAUAAUGACGGUAGUCGGAGAAGAAGCCCCGGCUAACUUCGUGCCAGCCGCCGCGGUAAAAC
rnacentral:rRNA from 1 species